AUACGUAGGGUGCAAGCGUUAAUCGGAAUUACUGGGCGUAAAGCGUGCGCAGGCGGUUUUGUAAGACAGAGGUGAAAUCCCCGGGCUCAACCUGGGAACUGCCUUUGUGACUGCAAGGCUAGAGUACGGCAGAGGGGGAUGGAAUUCCGCGUGGAGCAGUGAAAUGCGUAGAUAUGCGGAGGAACACCGAUGGCGAAGGCAAUCCCCUGGGCCUGUACUGACGCUCAUGCACGAAAGCGUGGGGAGCAAACAGGAUUAGAUACCCUGGUAGUCCACGCCCUAAACGAUGUCAACUGGUUGUUGGGUCUUCAUUGACUCAGUAACGAAGCUAACGCGUGAAGUUGACCGCCUGGGGAGUACGGCCGCAAGGUUAAAACUCAAAGGAAUUGACGGGG
rnacentral:rRNA from 1 species